UUUCUCCAAACAUGAUUAUUCUCUUUCCCUUUUUUUUUCUUCCUUAAUCAACCAAACACAAUACCAUAUUAAAAUUAUCCUUUUCUUUCCUUCUUAACUAAUUUUAUCAUUUUUCCUUUAAACACACCCUACCAAACAUAUUGAAAGAACUUGGAGGGAUAGAUAAUCCUUUCAGAUCCUUUCCAAUCUUUACUUUUUCUCUUCUAUUCCCUCCAUCCAAACACAUCCCUAUCCUUCCCUUUCUUUUCUCUCCAAAUCCCUCUAAAUCCCUCCUUCCAAACGAGCCCAAAAAUUAGGUUGUACCGCAAUGGGCGAACCAGCUGCUCUUUCACUACCGAAGCGAUCGCCACUGCCAUGUUCUCGUGCUGUGAAGAUUGUGCAUCUGGACCACACGGCUCCGUCGUCGAUCUCAAUCACAUCAACGGCCGCCUGGAUCUGUGGCGGUUGCGGCGGCUGUUGAUGUUUUGAGAUCGAGGACGGAGCCGUUGGUGUUGUCGAGAUCGACGACGGAGCUGACGUUGAUGAUGUCCAGGGAGAAGAAAUUUCAAUGCCCCCUGCUGUACUAUUUUACAAAUACAUUUUGGCCUAACAAUUCAUCAAGAGCAUCGAUUUCAAAGUUUUGAUGUACAGCUAUUGGCCGUGGCGAUGGCUUCGGUAGCUGAUGUAGCAGCUUAUGGUAUUUUUUUAUGAUGGUUGUCUGGAUAGUUGCGGUUUGGGAACAAAGGGUGUCUCCCUUAACGAUAAUUUUAGUGAGGUUGAAGCUUUUUUGGUGAAGGAGAUACAAUUGCCUUAGAUGUGGGAUUUACUUUUGCUGUUGCUUUGUUGUAAUCAUGGUAGUUUAUAACUAAUUUUGUCAUUCACUAUCAGAGAAGAGGAUUGGAAAUACCUGCUAUCUGUCACCUCUGGUCUAGAUGAUGAUAAUAAUUUAUUUUGCCUAUGAGAAAUUUGGGGGUUUCAAGGUGGAGGACCAAUGUCCCAAAUUCUCAACUUGGAUGAAGAAAUGCAUGGAGAGAGAGGUUUAUGAGAUAGUAAUCAUGUUGAGGAAGAUGUAUGGCAUUGAGUGAGUAUUGGAUGUGCAAGUUUUUGGCUUGUGGUUGAAUCUUGUUUUUUUCCCUCUUAAGUUCUUUUUUGGUCUUCUUUUGGGGUCCUUGAUUCUCACUAGAAGAGAAAAAUAAAGGGAAGAAAAAUAAAGGAUAAUAAUCAUUUUCCUUGA